rnacentral:tRNA from 1 species
GGGCCCGUAGCUUAGUGGUCGGAGCUCUCGGCUCAUAACCGAGUGGUCGCCGGUUCAAAUCCGGUCGGGCCCA